GAUCUAACUGCAGGUUUCCGUGCCUUGGAGGAUGAGACCCGAUGAUUUAGGAGUUUGAAAUUUUGGUUUUGUACGAGUUAGCGGCCAGCACUUUAGUUUCUCUAUUUGUUAGAUUCUAUGAGGAUGCAGUGUUGGUAUGUCUAAUGGUCCAUGUUGUGGUGCAUUGUUUGGCCAAAAUUUUAGUUGGAUUGUGAUAGUUGCUAUAUGUACUAUUUGUUAUAUUUCAUUUUCAGUUCUAUUGGGAUGCAGGGGACAUCAACUGUUCCAUGUGUAUUUAUUCAAUAAGGUGUGAAUUCAGGUGAUGCCAUGAUUUAAUUUAUUAUCGUUUAAAUCUCUCUCCCUCUCUCUCUGAAACGGAUGUUUGAGGUCUCUCAAAUUCUUUCGGGAGUGUUGAUUAUCGUGUGAUUUAAUGUAGUCGAGGCUAUUCGUGCUCCAUUUUUAUUUUUAUUUCCAUGAUAAGGUCUUCGUUCAACUCCUUUCCAUGAUAAUAGACAAACACGUACUGUGUGUAGCUGCAGCAAAAGAGAGAACAAUAUGCCUAAUACCGUUGGGCCAUUUACCUCCGUGGAUAUGCUGUAUUAUUUUCUCUGUUCAUCAAAUGAAAGAGAUUUUGAGAGUAUCGCAACCGAGGAUCAUCUAAAUAUUGCGAGGAGCUAAAUAAAUCCACAAUAAAAGCACGAUAGAAUUUCAUAAGU
rnacentral:misc_RNA from 1 species